rnacentral:lncRNA from 1 species
GAAAAGCAACCACAAAGGCAAAACAUGCAGUCUCCAAAUGUUACCUCUGCUGCCAGGUUUCAGCUUGUGUCCGCCAGGAAGCAGGUGUGACACCAUGGAUGUGACUGUGGCGUGCACACCACGGGCUCUCAAUAGUAAAGGUGUCAACGUGGGCACGCGUUUUGACCAGAGAGAGGUGCAACGGACUUUCACCUUUCCGUGGAGCGAGAAAGACUGAAGAUUUGAAGUAGAACGGCACCUGCCGCAGAGCCCCUUUGUAAAAAAUCUCACUUUGCUCCACGUGAUCCACCACCAGCAGCCCUGUGAGAGGCGAGGGUGACCCAUGGACUAAUGGCAGCUGAACUCCAACCCCUGGCUGGGCAUCUCCUCUGGGCCCAGCCCAAGGCACUGGCAGGAGGCAGGAGGAGGCUCUGCAGCCUGGCCUUCUGUCCUGAGCACGGUUCCAAGGAGAGACUGCACACCCUGAAACCAGCCUCCACACAGACUGAGAUAAACAGAAAGGCCACUUUACACAUCACGCCUCAGGACGCCUCAGGCCACAAGCAGCAUGCAAUGGUGAGGUCCUGGAAAGAGCCCCACGGCAGACUGGCAUCCCUUUGACGCAGAGCUGCUGCAGCUGCCUCUGAGUGUUUGCCUCAGGACGCUUCAUCUUCUCAUCCCUCGUCCUCAACAUUAAAAACAGCUCACGCGUUCCAGCCACUGCGGGGCACGUUAGCAUGAGAAGCAGCUUCCAUGCGACCCCCUAGCUGCGGACACUCCACACGCUGAGAGUCAGCUGAGCUUGAACAAAGAGACCUUUCUCCUCUGCAGAAAUCGCUCGAGCCGCCAGCGCCAGAAUUCACAGCAGCUUUCUCUUGAAAUGCUUGGCAUUUCCCCACAAUUUCUUAGGUAUACUUGGUGGGCGAAGUGCGUCAUCUCUGUUUGAAUUUAUCGCACAGAAUAAGCCAUUUUCUCCAUUUAAUGUUAUCCCCUCGGUAACCAGGAGGUCGGAGGCCACAACGCAAAAACAGCAAAUUUGUCAACGGAAUGUGCAAAGCCGGGCAUAAAUUUAUCUUGUCCUAAUCCCCGGCCCCCUUUCAUGCGGUGAUUUUUCAUAUGCAUAUGAGAAUUUUCCGAGUUUGCUUUCUCACACAUUUCGCCGUCCGCAGACGGGCGGUGGCUCUGUGGGCCCCUAGGAAGCAACGUGGCUUUCCCCUUCCUCUGUAAAGCCCAAGGCGGCCACCUCCGCUUUUCUGAUCAUCUGUCAUUGAAAACCCCCCAAGCAUCGCUUCCUAUGAUUAUUUUCACACACAGGGAGCAUAAUUGCAUGUUCUGAAAAAAAAUUCUCACUAAAGAAGCCCGUGAUUCUCAGACAUCCUAAGGCAUCGCAAAGCCAACCCUGUGCCAUGCUGUAGCCACGUACAAACUUUACAAUCCCGUGUCACUCACAUUUAAAAAUAACCAGCAACUUCAUAGCAGAAAGAAAGGGUCAUGGUCACCACAGUGAGACUGAGACACACAUCUCCUCUAACUUUACACCACUCGGGAUAACUAUGUGCAUCCUCACCAGAGAAUAUCUACCUCGUGCUGUUUCCUUCAGCCUCCAUUAUACGGUGGAAGAGUCGCAUGACAAGCUAGAGGAUCAGUCCUAAAGGAGUCCGUGUCAGUGUGUGACUAUUUUCACAAAACAAGUAGUUUUGUCUUGAAGUCCACUCUCUUGACACCACCAAUAUUGUGUGCUUUGGAUGGCAACAGUGUACCCGGCCGGCCAAGGAGAGCCUGGGCGCUGGUGGCGUUGGCUGCAGACCAGUCUCCGGCCCAGGACCUGCCGUAAGACCUGGGGGCCAGUGGUCUGCGCCCUGCAGGCCUGAGAGGAGGGAAGCUGUCUGAUUGCCAGGUAUUUACACAGCAACACUGAAGGAAAUGUACCACGGCCCCUGGCUUUCUCAGACGUCAACUCCUCAGGCUUAAUGAUAAAAUUCAUCCCCGAAGCAUAUUUUCUUUGGUUCAAGACUAUCUCCCCACACUGGGAAUUUCCCCUGCAGUUUGCUCCUGGGUGGACAGUUCCACAGGUCAGUGAUUCAUCUCUCCUCAGUCAGGCUUACACGUGAGUUUGUUGCUUCUCAGUGAACUCCUAGACUGGAAUUCCAAGCACACUGGAGAGAAGGAUGCGCUUUUCCUCGAGAGUAAAUGUUCAUCUCUUGCCCCAGAAGGAAAUCCUGUGCCACAAAAGAGAAGCAGAGCCACCUUCCACAGCAGUGAGCUGUGAGGAAUGGAGAUGGUACUCAACGUUUUAGACAAACCCUGUAAAUUCCUGCUCAGGUUUUUAGUGUGAUUCAAAUCAAUUUGGCAAAAUAGUUACUGCAUCUAAAAUACACCAGGGUGAUGCUAGACCGCUGAGCUAGAAUGAUGAAAAGCAGAUAUGGGUCCUGAAUUCAGAGAAUUUCCACAAAGGAGAUUGUGGAACAUAAUCUCCUAGAGACAUAGAAGUGUCUAGACAUCUGUGAACCAUUUAAGCUGUCCUGAAGGCAGAGGACUGGUGUGUCUCAGAGCAGCAGCAUCCGCAUGCGAGCACCGCCCACACGAGAGCACCGUCCACACAUGAGCACCGCCCACACAUGAGCACCAUUCACACGUGAGCACCAUUCACACAUGACCACCACCCACACAUGAGCACCACCCACACAUGAGCACCACCCACACAUGAGCACCAUCCACACGUGAGCACAUCCACACAUGAGCACCGUCCACAUGAGAGCACCGUCCACACAUGAGCACCACCUGCACAUGAGCACUGUCCACACGAGAGCACCGUCCACACAUGAGCACCAUCCACACAUGAGCACUGCCCACUUGAGAGCACCGUCCACACAUGAGCACCAUCCACACAUGAGCACCACCUGCACAUGAGCACCGUCCACACAUGAGCACCGUCCACACAUGAGCACCACCCACACAUGAGCACUGUUCACACAUGAGCACUGUUCACACAUGAGCACCGCCCACACGAGAGCACCGUCCACACAUGAGCACCACCCACACAUGAGCACCACCCACACAUGAGCACCGUUCACACAUGAGCACCACCCACACAUGAGCACCGCCCACACGAGAGCACCGUCCACACAUGAGCACCAUCCACACAUGAGCACCACCUGCACAUGAGCACUGUCCACACAAGAGCACCAUCCACACAAGAGCACCGUCCACAUGUGGGCGCCGACCACAGGUUAGCACAUCCACACGUGAGAACAACCACAUCACACGGUUAAGGUGGGCGCUGCACAUCAGAAUUCCAAGGUCAGCUUCUCCACUCACUAUGUCAUGUGGCUGCAGUCCGUUACCGCCCCAUGGCCCAGGUGACAGUCCUAUAAGACCAUGUAAAACACCACCUGUCUCAAAGAGCAGUUUGAAGAAUUCAAGGAUUCAGAAUAUUUCCACUGAGCACACAGCCGACCCUAUAGGACUGCUGCGUUAUUAACAUCAUCGUUAUAGCUUUGGUGCCUACAACGAUCUCUGGUACAUAUUAAUUUAUAUUUAUAUAUGCAUUUGUUGAAUUGAAUAUAGUAAUGGAUAUGAUUAUUGUGGUGGUGUCCCUCGGAGGUUUGCCCCAGAGGCCAUACUGGGUUGCUGGAAACUGUCAUUAACUGUAGUGAGUUGUAACUCUGUAUCCUUAUCUGUGAAUUGAGAAAAUUAAUUGCUGUUACGUAACAUAAAAUGAAUUGUUGCUGUACAAUAUAAAACGCCCACCAGCAAGACAGAGGAGUCAUUACUCUGGAAGAGUAAAUGAAGAAAUCUCAACAUUACAACAUGACAAUUAGAUUCCAUGUCAAUAAGCAAAAAGGAGAACAUAGCAUGUGUUUUAUUCACAGCUGUCAAUUAUGUCCUACAAAGACAGGCAGCAAAAUAUUAUAACAUUUUCAUUUAAUAAUAAAGCACUUACUGAGUACUUAC